AAAAGGAUUAGGGUUUGGAGCAUUUCACGUUCUCUUCUUCAAACUUCCUUCUCUCUCUCUCUCAAAUAAAAUAAAAAACUCGAGAGCGGCGACCGACUUUCAUCGUCUUUCUCCAUAGAGCUCUUUUCGUUCCUUCUCCGAUUUGGUUCACUGAUGAUGAACACCGUCAAACGGCGACCGCCUCUUCAAAACGGAGGCGAUCUCCUCGCUUCGAUCCGAACGGUAGCCUUUGUAAUUUGAUUCUGGUCCGAUUUGAAACCCUUCUUCACUUUCUCAUGAACAUGCAACGGAGGCCUCAGAUAUGGGUUUGAAUCGUUGUUGCUGCGGGUUGUCUGUUGCUGUGUGAGGUUAUUGUAGGUCGAGAUGAUGUAUUGAUCACGUUUUGAGUUGAAUCAGAUGAAGUCGUGAGUGUUGGUUGUUGGUGAUGAAUGAUGAUCUUGCUAAGCGUUGAACUAAUGACGAUAUUCAAUCACUUCAGCCCCGAGUUGAGGGUAUCGAUUCUAUUUCUGGUUACGACAUCUAUGUUAACAUUUGACUUAUUUUUGGGUUGCAUGUUGUAGUGUCUCAAUGUUCUAGGCUUCCUUAAUCUCAACAUCUGGCUUUAACAACUGGUCUAAACCAAUAUUUAAGAACAGUUAAGGUUCAAGAUGUACUUAAGAUUUGUAGCUUCUAAGAGCUCCUUUGAUGGAAGGAUUGCCCCUGCCUCCGAACAUAAAGAUUCUGGAUCCUAAACUUUGCUUCUUAUGGGGUUAAGAAUCCCGUUUAUGUUGUUUUUUUAUGGCUCAAACCACAAUGCAUAGCGAACUCGGUAAGAUUACUCUCGACUAGACCUUUGCAGACACACUUAAUGAAAAUAUUGUGGUGAGUUUAUUUCAAUGAAUCAAAAAUAAAAAGUAUUUUAUAUUGGUUCUUCAAAUUAAUUUAUGGAAUAUAUGUUGGUUAUUAAAAUAUUGUAAACGCGAGGAUAUGACCCAUAUUCAUGUUUUUGAACUGAGUAUGUUGUCGCCCGAUGUAGUUUUACAAAUAGAGUUGGGGUAGCUGGCUGUUGCAACAAAAAUAUUGCAUCAUUGGUAAAAUAGUUCUGGAUGUAUUUGGUUAAUGAAUUUUUUGUGCUUUAUCUGCCAAUCUAUUGGCAAGAAUGUCAUGCUGAUGUACAUAUGGGCCUACAAUUAUCAAGCUACAUUCUUACAGGAAGCAGAAAGUUUAAAUCAUAGUUUGUAAACCAUGGUUUGAUUCAUAAAGAAAUGGUGUAUAUAUGUAGAAAGGGUGUAUUUGUUGUAUUUAUAGUGGUCUUAAAUGUUAAGAAGUGCAAUAGGGUAAAUUAAUAUUAUAUUUAAUUUAGAACAUUUCUUUAUAAA